rfam:Salmo salar isolate Sally breed double haploid chromosome ssa01, whole genome shotgun sequence.
GUGUUCACUUACUGUAAGUUGCUCUGGAUAAGAGCGUCUGCUAAGUGACUGAAA